rfam:Sinorhizobium meliloti 1021 plasmid pSymB
GUGAGGGUGACCGAGCGUGGGGAGGAAGCGUGGAGCGUAAACCGCGUGCCGAUGAACAAGAACCGGAUAUGAGGCGGUGCCGACCAGGGCGAGCGGGCCAUGAACCGCGAAGCUCUCGUGACCAAGGGGCGGCGGCGUAGAUCCGGCGGUAGUGCGGUGAAGGAAUGCGUUC